rnacentral:rRNA from 1 species
GGGGCGACGCGAGGCGCGGCGGGACGCUCGAGUUGGGGGCAAACCGACCCGCAUGCCGCGUGAGUGAAGAGGCCCUCGGGUUGUAAACACUUUUCCCUUUAACGCCUUGGGCGCGCUUUUAUCUUAUAUGAAAAUACCUUUGAAAGAAAAAUCCACUCCGAACACAUGCUCCUAUGACCGUAUUGCACGGUAUCCGUGCAGCCAGCAUCCCUCUCCUCCAGACAUCCCCGCGGCCCUACAGGAUCUACCACGCGUGACCCUCUUUGUGCGAAGACAUAUCCUCUCGGCCCCCACCAGGAUCCAUAUUUCUUCGUUAGGUGUCCUCGCAUCCCCUCCUUUACUUUCUCAAUUACGAAAAUCCUUAUACCUACGGAUUUCAUCACCUCGAACUCCCUCUAAGUUGCC